GACGAACGCUGGCGGCGUGCUUAACACAUGCAAGUCGAACGGUGAAGCUCCAGCUUGCUGGAGUGGAUCAGUGGCGAACGGGUGAGUAACACGUGAGCAACCUGCCCCUGACUCUGGAAUAAGCGCUGGAAACGGCGUCUAAUACUGGAUACGAGAAGGGCCCGCAUGGGCACUUUCUGGAAAGUUUUUCGGUUGGGGAUGGGCUCGCGGCCUAUCAGCUUGUUGGUGAGGUAAUGGCUCACCAAGGCGACGACGGGUAGCCGGCCUGAGAGGGCGACCGGCCACACUGGGACUGAGAAACGGCCCAGACUCCUACGGGAGGCAGCAGUGGGGAAUAUUGCACAAUGGGCGAAAGCCUGAUGCAGCGACGCCGCGUGAGGGAUGACGGCCUUCGGGUUGUAAACCUCUUUCAGCAGGGAAGAAGCGAAAGUGACGGUACCUGCAGAAGAAGCACCGGCUAACUACGUG
rnacentral:rRNA from 1 species